rnacentral:rRNA from 1 species
GGUUCGAUCUCUGGCUCAGAUUGAACGCUGGCGGGAUGCUUUACACAUGCAAGUCGAACGGCAGCACGGACUUCGGUCUGGUGGCGAGUGGCGAACGGGUGAGUAAUGUAUCGGAACGUGCCUAGUAGCGGGGGAUAACUACGCGAAAGCAGCUAAUACCGCAUACGGCCUCUUCGGGAAAGCGGGGACCUUUCGGGCCUCGCACUAUUAGAGCGGCUGAUAUCGGAUCAUUAGCUAGUUGUAGGGGGUAACGGCUCACCAAGGCGACGAUCCGUAGCUGGUUUGAGAGGACGACCAGCCACACUGGGACUGAGAUACUUGGCCUAGACUCCUACGGGAGGCAGCAGUGGGGAAUUUUGACAAUGGGGAAACCCUGAUCCAGCCAUCCGGCGUGUGCGACGAAGGCCUUCGGGUUGUAAAGCACUUUGGCAGGAAAGAAACGGCACGGAUAAUACCCCGUGCAACUGACGGUACCUGCAGAAUAAGCACCGGCUAACUACGUGCCAGCAGCCGCGGUAAUACGUAGGGUGCAAGCGUUAAUCGGAAUUACUGGGCGUAAAGCGUGCGCAGGCGGUUCGGAAAUAUGAUGUGAAAUCCCAGAGCUUAAUUUUGGAACUGCAUUUUUAACUACCGAGCUAGAGUGUGUCAGAGGGAGGUGGACCCGCGUGUAGCAGUGAAAUGCGUAGAUAUGCGGAGGAACACCGAUGGCGAAGGCAGCUCUCUGGGAUAACACUGACGCUCAUGCACGAAAGCGUGGGGAGCAAACAGGAUUAGAUACCCUGGUAGUCCACGCCCCAAACGAUGUCAACUAGCUGUUGGGGCCUUCGUGGGGCUCAGCGCAGCUAACGCGUGAAGUUGACCGCCUGGGGAGUACGGUCGCAAGAUUAAACUCAAAGCGAAUUGACGGGACCCGCACAAGCGGUGGAUGAUGUGGAUUAAUUCGAUGCAACGCGAAAAACCUUACCUACCCUUGACAUGUCUGGAAUCCCGAAGAGAUUUGGGAGUGCUCGCAAGAGAACCGGAACACAGGUGCUGCAUGGCUGCUGUCAGCUCGUGUCGGGAGAUGUUGGGUUAAGUCCUGCAACGAGCGCAACCCUUGCUGAAGGAAAGGGCACUCUAAUGAGACUGCCGGUGACAAACCGGAGGAAGGUGGGGAUGACGUCAAGUCCGCAUGGCCCUUAUGGUAGGGCUUCACACGUCAUACAAUGGUCGGGACAGAGGGUCGCCAACCCGAGGGGGAGCCAAUCCCAGAAACCCGAUCGUAGUCCGGAUCGCAGUCUGCAACUCGACUGCGUGAAGUCGGAAUCGCUAUAAUCGCGGAUCAGCAUGUCGCGGUGAAUACGUUCCCGGCCCUACACACCGCCCGUCACACCAUGGGAGGGGUUUUACCAGAAGUAGUUAGCCUAACCGUAAGGAGGGCGAUUACCACGGUAGGAUUCAUGACUGGGGUGAAGUCGUAACAAGGUAG